UGGGGAAUUUUGGACAAUGGGGGAAACCCUGAUCCAGCCAUCCCGCGUGUGCGAUGAAGGCCUUCGGGUUGUAAAGCACUUUUGGCAGGAAAGAAACGUCGCGGGUUAAUACCCCGCGAAACUGACGGUACCUGCAGAAUAAGCACCGGCUAACUACGUGCCAGCAGCCGCGGUAAUACGUAGGGUGCAAGCGUUAAUCGGAAUUACUGGGCGUAAAGCGUGCGCAGGCGGUUCGGAAAGAAAGAUGUGAAAUCCCAGAGCUUAACUUUGGAACUGCAUUUUUAACUACCGGGCUAGAGUGUGUCAGAGGGAGGUGGAAUUCCGCGUGUAGCAGUGAAAUGCGUAGAUAUGCGGAGGAACACCGAUGGCGAAGGCAGCCUCCUGGGAUAACACUGACGCUCAUGCACGAAAGCGUGGGGAGCAAACAGGAUUAGAUACCCUGGUAGUCACGCCCUAAACGAUGUCAACUAGCUGUUGGGGCCUUCGGGCCUUGGUAGCGCAGCUAACGCGUGAAGUUGACCGCCU
rnacentral:rRNA from 1 species